rnacentral:ncRNA from 1 species
AUAAAUGCAAGGACAAGGAAUAGUAGAACUUAGGAAGGAUUCAGAGAGCUGUCGGUUGGUGUGAGACAGUUGUGGAAUAAGUUUGAACUGGCCUUUGAGCAGCGGGCUGAAGGAUAGAUUCAGAAGUAGGCUUUGCCGGUGACUGACCGUUAUUUCAGUAGGAUAUAAGACCGGGUGAUCAGGAUUAAGUUUUAUGAUUGCCAAUAAGUUUCAGGUUCGUAUCUGUGAGAGUGCAUACAGAAGUAUGAAUUAGAGUGGUACCGCGUGAGUUCCUUACGUCUCUAAC